rnacentral:rRNA from 1 species
UGAGCAACCUGCCCCGGACUCUGGGAUAACAGUUGGAAACAGCUGCUAAUACCGGAUACGAGCUGCGAAGGCAUCUGCAGCAACUGGAAAGAACUUCGGUCUGGGAUGGGCUCGCGGCCUAUCAGCUAGUUGGUGAGGUAACGGCUCACCAAGGCGUCGACGGGUAGCCGGCCUGAGAGGGUGACCGGCCACACUGGGACUGAGACACGGCCCAGACUCCUAGGAGG